rnacentral:lncRNA from 1 species
UGUCUUUCUUGGACUUAUUAGAUCGUCUGAUAGAUAUUUUGUUGAUAAAAAAAGAGAUUGGUAAGAUUCCAUAAUCUAAAUAUCCAAAAAAUAAAAUCCCCACUUUACAAAUAAACCAUAAAGAUUAGAUCCUAAUUUACCUUAUAUUAUUAGCAUCAAACAACAACAAUAAAUCCUAAUACCUGUAGUUAGAGGCGAGGCUACAUUAAGGUUAAGGGUGUCCAUGGACACCCCUAAUUUUAUAAUUUUUUAUGCAGAUUAUAUAAUAAAAUUAAGAUGGACACCUGUAGAUAAUUAAAACGGACACCUGUAGUGCAAGAAAAUAGAAAUCUUUUAAAAGUUUUGAAAUCUUUUUAACAAAAUACAAGAUUGCACCGAUAUACUAAGAUCCUAACCAAAAAAAUCUUAUUUGUAAAUAUUAGUAUCUGAUUUUAGUCUUUAAAUUACUAAAAGAACAAAGAUUAUUUUUGGGUCACCGGCCACUUCUGUCCUCAACCUCUCUUUGUCGUUGAUGUUAAGUCGAUUCUUUGUUGUCUUCGGUAUGUUUUCACUUACUUCGCGGCCCUCUCCUCCGAUUUCUUUAUUGUUGUCAUUUGUUGCCGUUGUAUCUUUCUUCUCUGCGUUCUUUGGUUUUAUCUUCUAAGUAACACCAUCACAAUUUCUCUCUCUUUCUCACUUAUUAAAUUAGAAUUUACGAUGCAUAGGAUUAUAGGAAGUAGGUCAAAGUCUAUGUCUGUUAUCUAGAAAUUUUUGUGACACUAGUUUGUAAAUGAAAGCAAUAGGUGAUGGGUUAAAGUAAACAUACAAAUCGGAAAUCAUAAGUUACUCUCAAAUUUAUUUUAAUUUGAUAAUUUAUUAGGUUAUAUGUUAUCUUGUACGAUUAUUCGUUUGUAAUUUGCUUAAUAUUUAGUAUAGAUUGGUGUUUCUAAGAUUGUGAUGAUUAUUUUUAUUUUUAUGUUUAGUGUUAGGGAUUUUUAAAUUAUGUUUGAUUUUUGUUGUUAAAUUUAAUAAAAUAUUUUUCUCAAAUGUUACUGUCGAAAAAAUGACCUAAUAACCAAUUUUAUCAAUAUAUUUUAUCGUGUUAUGUAAGUCGGACACCCUUGAGUUUAAAUUCUAGAUUCGCCACUGCCUGUAGUACCAACUAAUAAACCAUAAACACCUAUAUCUAUUAGUGGUUUUAAAAAAUUGAAAAGUUC